rnacentral:rRNA from 1 species
GACGGAGGAUGCAAGCGUUAUCCGGAAUUAUUGGGCGUAAAGCGUCCGCAGGUGGACAUACAAGUCUGCUGUCAAAGUGCAGAGCUUAACUCUGUAAAGGCGGUGGAAACUGUAGGUCUUGAGUAUGGUAGGGGUAGAGGGAAUUCCCGGUGUAGCGGUGAAAUGCGUAGAUAUCGGGAAGAACACCAGUGGCGAAAGCGGCUACCUGGCCCAUUCUUGACGCUGAGGCGCGAAAGCUAGGGGAGCAAACGGG